AAUGACUCUCGGCAACGGAUAUCUCGGCUCUCGCAUCGAUGAAGAACGUAGCGAAAUGCGAUACUUGGUGUGAAUUGCAGAAUCCCGUGAACCAUCGAGUCUUUGAACGCAAGUUGCGCCCGAAGCUUCGGCUAAGGGCACGUCUGCCUGGGCGUCACGC
rnacentral:rRNA from 1 species